UACGAAGGGGGCUAGCGUUGCUCGGAAUCACUGGGCGUAAAGGGUGCGUAGGCGGGUCUUAAGUCAGGGGUGAAAUCCUGGAGCUCAACUCCAGAACUGCCUUUGAUACUGAGGAUCUUGAGUUCGGGAGAGGUGAGUGGAACUGCGAGUGUAGAGGUGAAAUUCGUAGAUAUUCGCAAGAACACCAGUGGCGAAGGCGGCUCACUGGCCCGAUACUGACGCUGAGGCACGAAAGCGUGGGG
rnacentral:rRNA from 1 species